AGAGAGAGACAUGCGCGCAUAUCAAUAAGCGGAGGAAAAGAAACUAACUAGGAUUCCCUCAGUAACGGCGAGUGAAGCGGGAAGAGCUCAAAUUUGAAAUCUUCAAGGUUCUACCUUGACGAAUUGUAGUUUAAAGAAGUGUUUUCUGUUGGAGUUUUGGUAAAAGUUCUUUGGAAUAGGACAUCAUAGAGGGUGAGAAUCCCGUAUUUGACCAUUAUUUCCAGCUUUGUGAUACACUUUCAAAGAGUCGGAUUGUUUGGGAAUGCAGUCCAAAAUGGGUGGUAAAUUUCAUCUAAAGCUAAAUAUUGGCGAGAGACCGAUAGCGAACAAGUACCGUGAGGGAAAGAUGAAAAGAACUUUGAAAAGAGAGUUAAACAGUACGUGAAAUUGUCAAAAGGGAAGCGUUUGACACCAGUGUUGUUUUCUCGAAAAUCAAUUAAAAAAGGCAGGAUUUUGUGUUGUAUUGACAUUAUCAGCUUUCCUGCACUCUUUUCUUGUCUUUUUUAAUGCACUUUUCGUUUAACAAGUCAACAUCAAUUUCUUUUGUUGUAAAGGGUCAUUGGAAGGUGGCUUUCUUUUCGGAGAAAGUGUUUAUAGCCUUUGGCCUCUGCAAUCGGAGAGAUUGAGGUCUGCAGCGUAGAUCCUUCGGGGUUAGAUACAUUUGUGCUAAGUUAUAGCCUUUUCAUAGACAACUUGUUGACUAUGAUCAGUCAUGUAGCUUACUCGCUUAUGCUAUUUUACCUACGCUUAGGAUGUUGAUGUGAUACUGCGAGCA
rnacentral:rRNA from 1 species